UGAUACUUUUCUCAAGAGAUUUUAAAAUAGAACCAUCGAGUGCAACUAGCAAGUUUAAUGAAUUUAUCUACAUUCCUCCUAGGUCACAGACAACAUAACUGAGUGGAAUUCUUCAGAAAAUACAUGUGUGGGAUCAAAACAGAGUGCAGAAGGAGAUACGAGAAUCCAGCUGCUCAACAUUGGAGAUAUGUAAAAAAACUGUAUCUCCUCAAGGUUGGAUCAAGUUGAAGAACAGAGCUGUGGAAGCCAGAGGACUUGAGUUUGCUGUGUGAUUUUGGG